AGCAGCACGCCCGCGUGAGCGAGAAGGCCUUCGGGUUGUAAAGCUCUGUCGUCAGGGACGACAAUGACGGUACCUAACUGGCUGCCCCCUGCUAACUACUUGCUAGCAAGCCCGGUUUAGUACGUGCCAGCAGCCGCGGUAAUAAGUCGUA
rnacentral:rRNA from 1 species